AUAAGAAAAAGAAAAGAAAGAAAACAAAACAAAAAUACCGUACUGGUUUCAACUGCACACCUUUCCUGUGGCUACUCCUCUCUUCAUCCCUGAUCUUGCCCCUUUUUCCACCCGCAAAUGGU
rnacentral:ribozyme from 14 species